rnacentral:rRNA from 1 species
UGGGGAAUAUUGGACAAUGGGCGAAAGCCUGAUCCAGCCAUGCCGCGUGAGUGAUGAAGGCCCUAGGGUUGUAAAGCUCUUUUGUGCGGGAAGAUAAUGACGGUACCGCAAGAAUAAGCCCCGGCUAACUUCGUGCCAGCAGCCGCGGUAAUACGAAGGGGGCUAGCGUUGCUCGGAAUCACUGGGCGUAAAGGGUGCGUAGGCGGGUCUUUAAGUCAGGGGUGAAAUCCUGGAGCUCAACUCCAGAACUGCCUUUGAUACUGAAGAUCUUGAGUUCGGGAGAGGUGAGUUGAACUGCGGGUGUAGAGGUGAAAUUUGUAGGUUUUCGGAAGAACACCAGUGGCGAAGGCGGCUCACUGGCCCGAUACUGGCGCUUGGGCACGAAAGGGUGGGGAGCAAACAGG